UGGGGAAUAUUGCACAAUGGGGGAAACCCUGAUGCAGCGACGCCGCGUGAGUGAAGAAGUAAUUCGUUAUGUAAAGCUCUAUCAGCAAGGAAGAAAGAAGACGGUACUUGACUAAGAAGCCCCGGCUAAAUACGUGCCAGCAGCCGCGGUAAUACGUAUGGGGCAAGCGUUAUCCGGAUUUACUGGGUGUAAAGGGAGCGUAGACGGCAUGGCAAGUCUGAUGUGAAAGCCCAGGGCUCAACCCUGGGACUGCAUUGGAAACUGUCUAGCUAGAGUGCGGGAGAGGUAAGUGGAAUUCCUAGUGUAGCGGUGAAAUGCGUAGAUAUUAGGAGGAACACCAGUGGCGAAGGCGGCUUACUGGACUGUAACUGACGUUGAGGCUCGAAAGCGUGGGGAGCAAACAGG
rnacentral:rRNA from 1 species